rnacentral:rRNA from 1 species
CGGGCAGGUGGUCCGUUAAGUCGUUUGUGAAAGUCCGGGGCUCAACCCCGUGAAAUGCUGACGAAACUGGCGGACUGGAGAUCGGUAGAGGCUAGCGGAAUUCCUGGUGUAGCGGUGGAAUGCGUAGAUAUCAGGAAGAACACCCGUGGCGAAGGCGGCUAGCUGGGCCGAGUCUGACACUCAUCCGCGAAAGCGUGGGGAGCAAACAGGAUUAGAUACCCUGGUAGUCC